rnacentral:rRNA from 1 species
CUAAUACAUGCAAGUCGAGCGAAUGGAUUGAGAGCUUGCUCUCAAGAAGUUAGCGGCGGACGGGUGAGUAACACGUGGGUAACCUGCCCAUAAGACUGGGAUAACUCCGGGAAACCGGGGCUAAUACCGGAUAACAUUUUGAACUGCAUGGUUCGAAAUUGAAAGGCGGCUUCGGCUGUCACUUAUGGAUGGACCCGCGUCGCAUUAGCUAGUUGGUGAGGUAACGGCUCACCAAGGCAACGAUGCGUAGCCGACCUGAGAGGGUGAUCGGCCACACUGGGACUGAGACACGGCCCAGACUCCUACGGGAGGCAGCAGUAGGGAAUCUUCCGCAAUGGACGAAAGUCUGACGGAGCAACGCCGCGUGAGUGAUGAAGGCUUUCGGGUCGUAAAACUCUGUUGUUAGGGAAGAACAAGUGCUAGUUGAAUAAGCUGGCACCUUGACGGUACCUAACCAGAAAGCCACGGCUAACUACGUGCCAGCAGCCGCGGUAAUACGUAGGUGGCAAGCGUUAUCCGGAAUUAUUGGGCGUAAAGCGCGCGCAGGUGGUUUCUUAAGUCUUGAUGUUGAAACCCACGGCUCAANCCGUGGGAGGGGUCAUUGGGAAACUGGGGAAGACUUUAANUGCAAAAAAAAGGAAAGUNGGAAUUNCCAUUGUUGUUAGCGGGUGNAAAUUGCCGUUANAAAAUUAUUGGAAGGAAACACCCAAGUGGGGGNAAAGGGCGAAAUUUUUCUUGGGUCCUGGGUAAACUGGACACCUUGAAGGGCCCCCAAAAAANCCGUUGGGGGAAGCCAAAACCNGGGANUUUANAAUUNCCCCUGGGGUUA